GAUGAACGCUGGCGGCGUGCCUAAUACAUGCAAGUCGAGCGAACGGACGAGAAGCUUGCUUUUCUGAUGUUAGCGGCGGACGGGUGAGUAACACGUGGAUAACCUACCUAUAAGACUGGGAUAACUUCGGGAAACCGGAGCUAAUACCGGAUAAUAUUUUGAACCGCAUGGUUCAAAAGUGAAAGACGGUCUUGCUGUCACUUAUAGAUGGAUCCGCGCUGCAUUAGCUAGUUGGUAAGGUAACGGCUUACCAAGGCAACGAUGCAUAGCCGACCUGAGAGGGUGAUCGGCCACACUGGAACUGAGACACGGUCCAGACUCCUACGGGAGGCAGCAGUAGGGAAUCUUCCGCAAUGGGCGAAAGCCUGACGGAGCAACGCCGCGUGAGUGAUGAAGGUCUUCGGAUCGUAAAACUCUGUUAUUAGGGAAGAACAUAUGUGUAAGUAACUGUGCACAUCUUGACGGUACCUAAUCAGAAAGCCACGGCUAACUACGUGCCAGCAGCCGCGGUAAUACGUAGGUGGCAAGCGUUAUCCGGAAUUAUUGGGCGUAAAGCGCGCGUAGGCGGUUUUUUAAGUCUGAUGUGAAAGCCCACGGCUCAACCGUGGAGGGUCAUUGGAAACUGGAAAACUUGAGUGCAGAAGAGGAAAGUGGAAUUCCAUGUGUAGCGGUGAAAUGCGCAGAGAUAUGGAGGAACACCAGUGGCGAAGGCGACUUUCUGGUCUGUAACUGACGCUGAUGUGCGAAAGCGUGGGGAUCAAACAGGAUUAGAUACCCUGGUAGUCCACGCCGUAAACGAUGAGUGCUAAGUGUUAGGGGGUUUCCGCCCCUUAGUGCUGCAGCUAACGCAUUAAGCACUCCGCCUGGGGAGUACGACCGCAAGGUUGAAACUCAAAGGAAUUGACGGGGACCCGCACAAGCGGUGGAGCAUGUGGUUUAAUUCGAAGCAACGCGAAGAACCUUACCAAAUCUUGACAUCCUUUGACAACUCUAGAGAUAGAGCCUUCCCCUUCGGGGGACAAAGUGACAGGUGGUGCAUGGUUGUCGUCAGCUCGUGUCGUGAGAUGUUGGGUUAAGUCCCGCAACGAGCGCAACCCUUAAGCUUAGUUGCCAUCAUUAAGUUGGGCACUCUAAGUUGACUGCCGGUGACAAACCGGAGGAAGGUGGGGAUGACGUCAAAUCAUCAUGCCCCUUAUGAUUUGGGCUACACACGUGCUACAAUGGACAAUACAAAGGGCAGCGAAACCGCGAGGUCAAGCAAAUCCCAUAAAGUUGUUCUCAGUUCGGAUUGUAGUCUGCAACUCGACUACAUGAAGCUGGAAUCGCUAGUAAUCGUAGAUCGGCAUGCUACGGUGAAUACGUUCCCGGGUCU
rnacentral:rRNA from 1 species